AGCUCUUGCUCUUGCUCCUUCGCCUGCUUGCCGUGUGAGACUGAGUAACUGCUAGAUCCUUGGAUUUCCAUUCACAGCUGCGACUGAACAAUUGUAAGGAAUUGGGCUGCCGACUUGCAGAAAACAGAUGGAUCAUGGAGAAUGACAGUUGAUUAUCGAAAACUAAAUCAGGUAGUAACUCCAAUUGCAGCUGCUGUACCAGACGUAGUUUCGUUACUUGAGCAAAUCAACACAUCUCCUGGCACCUGGUAUGCGGCUAUUGAUCUGGCAAAUGCCUUCUUCUCAGUACCUGUCCAUAAGGACCACCAGAAGCAAUUUGCUUUCAGUUGGCAAGGCCAACAGUAUACCUUCACAGUUUUGCCUCAAGGAUAUAUUAACUCUCCUGCCCUGUGUCAUAAUUUAGUUAGAAGGGAUCUUGAUCGUUUGGAUCUUCCACAAAAUAUCACAUUGGUGCACUAUAUUGAUGACAUUAUGCUGAUUGGACCAAGUGAGCAGGAAGUAGCAACCACUUUGGACUCAUUGGUAACACAUAUGCGUAUCAGAGGAUGGGAAAUAAAUCCAACCAAAAUUCAAGGACCAUCUACCUCAGUGAAAUUCUUAGGAGUCCAGUGGUGUGGAGCAUGCAGAGAUAUUCCUUCUAAGGUGAAAGAUAAGUUAUUGCACCUGGCCCCUCCUACAACCAAGAAAGAAGCACAACGUUUAGUGGGCCUAUUUGGAUUCUGGAGACAACACAUCCCUCACUUGGGUGUGUUACUUAGGCCUAUUUACCAAGUGACUCGGAAAGCUGCUAGCUUUGUGUGGGGCCUGGAACAGGAGAAGGCCCUUCAACAGGUCCAGGCUGCUGUGCAGGCUGCUCUACCACUUGGACCAUAUGACCCAGCAGACCCGAUGGUACUUGAGGUGUCUGUGGCUGAUAGAGAUGCUGUUUGGAGCCUCUGGCAGGCCCCUGUAGGUGAAUCACAGAAAAGACCUUUGGGAUUUUGGAGCAAAGCUCUACCAUCAUCUGCAGACAACUAUUCUCCCUUUGAAAAACAGCUCUUGGCCUGCUAUUGGGCCUUAGUGGAAACUGAACGUUUGACAAUAGGACACCAGGUUACUAUGCGACCUGAACUACCCAUCAUGAGCUGGGUACUAUCAGACCCUGCAAGUCAUAAAGUGGGACGCGCACAGCAGCAGUCUAUUAUCAAAUGGAAGUGGUAUAUACGUGAUCGGGCCAGAGCAGGUCCUGAAGGCACAAGCAAGUUACAUGAAGAAGUUGCUCAAAUGCCUAUGGUUUCUACUCCUGUUACAAUGCCAUCUGCUGCCAAGCAUGCACCUAUAGCCUCAUGGGGUGUUCCCUAUGAUCAACUGACCGAAGAGGAGAAGACUAGAGCCUGGUUUACUGAUGGCUCUGCACGUUAUGCAGGCACCACCCAGAAGUGGACAGCUGCAGCAUUACAACCCCUUUCUGGGACAACCUUGAAAGACACAGGUGAAGGGAAAUCUUCACAGUGGGCAGAACUUCGGGCAGUACACAUGGUAUUACAGUUUGUUUGUAAGAAGAAGUGGCCAGAUGUACGAUUAUUCACUGACUCAUGGGCUGUAGCCAAUGGAUUGGCUGGAUGGUCAGGGACUUGGAAAGAUCACAAUUGGAAAAUUGGUGAGAAAGACAUCUGGGGAAGAAGUAUGUGGAUAGAUCUCUCCAAAUGGGCAAAGGAUGUGAAGAUAUUUGUGUCCCAUGUAAAUGCUCACCAAAAGGUGACUUCAGCCGAGGAGGAGUUCAAUAAUCAAGUGGAUAAGAUGACCCGUUCUGUGGACAGUCAGCCUCUCUCCCCAGCCAUCCCUGUCAUUGCUCAAUGGGCACAUGAACAAAGUGGUCAUGGUGGUCGAGAUGGAGGUUAUGCUUGGGCUCAGCAACACGGGCUUCCACUCACCAAAGCUGACCUGGCUACUGCUGCUGCUGAUUGCCAGAUCUGCCAACAGCAGAAACCAACACUGAGCCCCAGAUAUGGCACCAUUCCUCGAGGUGACCAGCCAGCAACCUGGUGGCAGGUUGACUACAUUGGACCACUUCCUUCAUGGAAAGGACAGCGUUUUGUUCUUACUGGAGUAGAUACUUAUUCUGGUUAUGGAUUUGCCUUUCCUGCACGUAAUGCUUCUGCUAAAACCACCAUUCACGGACUGACAGAAUGCCUUAUCUAUCGUCAUGGUGUUCCACACAGUAUUGCUUCUGACCAAGGAACUCAUUUCACAGCCAGAGAAGUACGACAGUGGGCCCACGAUCAUGGAAUUCACUGGUCUUACCACAUUCCCCAUCAUCCUGAAGCAGCUGGUCUGAUAGAAAGAUGGAAUGGCCUUUUGAAGACGCAGUUACAGCGCCAAUUAGGUGGUAACAGCUUGGAAGGCUGGGGUAGAGUUCUUCAGAAGGCAGUAUAUGCUUUGAAUCAGCGCUCGAUAUAUGGUACAGUUUCACCCAUAGCCAGGAUUCAUGGGUCCAGGAAUCAAGGGGUGGAAAACGGAAUAGUUCCACUUACUAUCACUCCUAGUGACCCUCUAGGAAAAUUUUUGCUUCCUGUCCCCAUAACUCUAGGUUCUGCUGGCUUAGAAGUUUUGGCUCCAGAGAGGGGAGUGCUCCUACCAGGAGCUACAACAAACAUUUCAUUGAACUGGAAGCUCAGACUUCCCCCUGGUCAUUUUGGGCUUCUAAUGCCCUUAAACCAACAGGC
rnacentral:lncRNA from 1 species